GGGAGCCUGCUGAAAGCCAGUGCAAUGUAAUACAAGAGCAACUGCUAAAGCACAUGGCUACAAAGAAAAGCAGCAGUCAGUGCUAGCCGCGAAAGCUUGCACAGCUCAUCACACCCUGCCCAGAUCAGAGCAAUCGCAGCAUUGUUUCACGAGGACAUCUGCCCACGUAAUCAAAAAGCAUGCAGGAAAGUCCAUCGAGAGAUCUUUCCACUCACGGAGCAGCUUCAGAACUUUUGACAUAACCAGUAGACAACGAGCUUCGUGAAAAUCCAAGCUGGCUCAGGCCGGACUUGCUGUGACCAGGAAACUUUCCAAAAGCUGGUACCUGCCACGAUUAGCAAGUUGACUGUAAAUUGACUGGACUGGUUGGUGCUGGCUGAGAUUAGUAUACGCAAGUACAGAUGCGAGGUGGUGAUUUAGAUGGAAAGUCCUCGGAACUGGCAAUUUUUUAUUGUUUCUACUGCUGCAAGUUGUUUCUUGUUCAUAAAAUGCAAAUAUAAGUCGUUUACUGUU